rnacentral:lncRNA from 1 species
ACUCUUGCUGCAAACAUUGGGAUCAGCCGUGACUAUCCCAUAACAUAAUAUUUCUGAUUUCAUUCUUUUCCUUUCUCCUACCAAUUUAAUCUGCAAUCACUUCAAGAGAAGUCUGUUUAAAGGAUAUUCACAUUCUGUUCACAGAGUUUGAGAGAAACUGUAUUCAAGUUGCUGAAACCAAGAAGCUACACUCACGAGUCUCACCUAAACUCGAAUCUGAUUUAGAUGACAUCAUCCUGGACUUUGAGUUGAUGAAACCUUGGAGGUCUUGGGAGUAAAGCAAGUGUGAUUUGCAUAUGAUGGAUAUGAAUUGUAAUGGCCAGAGCAUGGCUGUGAGAUGAAAACUCCCAUUUUAGGGAACCAAGACUGAAUUCCAUAAUUUACAUGGAUGUUUGGAAGGUGUCUGCAACUUAAUCUGUGUUCGUUUCUGAGAUGUUGGGCAACUCCUUCUUGGAAGAUGUGGUAAUGGUCUCUUCGAAAAGAAAAUAAUCAUCUGAGUUUUGGCCAAAAUAGUUGAUCGGAUUACCUAUGAAAAUGACUCUCACCCAACUACAAGAAU